GUCUGGCCUGCUCACUGAUUAUUUUAAAGAGCCGCGGUAUUUUGACCGUGCAAAGGUAGCAUAAUCAUUAGUCUCUUAAUUAGAGGCUGGAAUGAAUGGCUUGACGAGAAAUCAACUGUCUCUUAAUAAAUUUUAGAAUUUAACUUUUGAGUCAAAAGGCUUAAAUUUUUCUUUAGGACGAGAAGACCCUAUAGAGCUUGACAUUUUAUUUAUAUAUAAUUUUAAGAUGGUCUUUUUAUAUUUAAUGAUAAUGUUUUGUUGGGGUGACAUGAAGAAUUAAUAAACUCUUCAUUAUUAAAUCAUUAAUUUAUGUUUAUUUUGAUCCAUAAUUUAUGAUCAUAAGAUUAAGUUACCUUAGGGAUAACAGCGUAAUUGUUUUUGAGAGCUCAUAUCGACAAAGCAGAUUGCGACCUCGAUGUUGGAUUAAGAAAAGUUUUGGGUGCAGUAGCCCAGUAAUUAGGUCUGUUCGACCUUUAAAUUCUUACG
rnacentral:rRNA from 1 species